rnacentral:lncRNA from 10 species
CUGGCAUCCCAGACCACAGCCCCUGUUGAAAAUUCUGCUGACAUAGCCAGGUGACGGUGACAACGUAUUCUGGCUGUGGCCUGUCACUGUGAAAUAAAAGGGCUCAGGGGCUCUCCAGCACCCACCAUGGGGGGUCCUCCCAGAGCCCUUGGCUCUCUUGGGCCAGUGGCCCCUCUUCUGUGGCAGCCUCCCUCUAGUUGCCCCUAUGAGAGGACCUCUUUUCCUGGCUGGACCCCUGCCUGCUCCCUCCAGUUCACCAGCCCCUAAUCAGGGUGCAAUGCCUCUCAAGGUCCUGGCCUUUUCUCCACUGUUGGGCCCUGCUCUUCCCAGCAUUGGACGGAACAUUGAUGGAUUACUCCCCUGACCCUACGGCCUUUCCCUCGCACUCUCUUUCUCUCUCCUGCUUCCACCUGCUCUGGCCCCAUGCAUCCUGCACCUGUCCUCAGGGCUGCCUCCUCCAACACCUCCUCCCUGCUUCUCUUGUCAAAGGACCUUCUGGCUUGGUCUGAACUGUCAGGUUCAAUUUCUCGAGCUAAACCUUUGAAUCUGGCUGACCCACUCUUGAAUGGUCUUUGUUCCCCAGCUAAGAACCAGCUGAUCUCAGCCCCGGCCAAAAUUUGCCUCAGGGGACUUGCCUGCCUCUAAAUCAUAGCUUCUCUACUCAGUCCCAGACCUCUCCUCCAACUCCAUCUCUCCUCCCUCCUUCUAACCCACAUUUAUGAGGUACCUGCUCUGUGAGUGCUGGGCGGAUACAGACAUGGUGGAACUGGGCCCUGCUCUCCAAAUGCUGACAGCCUCCCAGUAAGAUACUCGUGCAGAACAAGGCAGCAUAGAAUAUAUUCUCUCUCUCUCUUUUUCUUUGUUUUGCCAGAGGUAAAGGAAAGUUCUGUGAGAGAAGGGAAGGAGGGGUGAAGACCAGUUCUGUGUUCUCCAGCUUCCAGUCACAUCUCAUUGGCACUAGAGAUAUGGAGAUGGAAGAAGAGAGAGUCAGUGUCCUCAGGGUCGAGGUGAAGAAGACAGAUGAUGUGCCAGUGUGAUGUGAUCAAGGCCAGCCAAAAUGACAACAUGGGAUGAAGGAAGAAUUGCCUCGAGCCAUUUCAGGCAGAGGGUUGUCUAUACUUUCAAAGUUUUCGAAGGAGUGGAUGAACCCUGAAGUCCUCCUCCGGUCUCAGCUGGUUCUCUGCUGCUACACUUUUGUGCUCUGUCAUCUCUUCCCCCGCUGAGCUGGAGAGAGAAUGUGGCAGCAGAGCCCUCCUGAUAUUUAAAGACAGGACUGAGAGACUCCUCAGCCACGACCAUGUGUGUCAGUCAUCUUGAUUCUGGGACACUGCACAGCCACAGCAGCCGCUUGGCUGGAAGUGAAGGUCAAGGCCACCAGGCAUCCCGUGGCCGAACCUGGCUCCUUCUCUUGGCUCCCAGCAGUCUCAUUUCCCCCGCGGGAAGGGCUAUUUAUAGAACAGAAAGAGCAGUUGCAGCCACACUUUACCCCACGAGCUCAACCCUCUGUGCCUUAGAGGGAAAACUUCCCUGCGGGUGACACCUGUGCACUGGCAAGACUUACUUGGGAGACAGAUUUAUAAUAAACAGCCUUAUUUUAUAGAGCCCCAAAUAUUUGCACAAAAAUGAGCCCUUGGUAUAACUUGCUCCAUUUAUCUCCCUGCUGUCAUAGGGUAUAUCUCUCUGUUUUAUUACUUUAUUUGCCAGUUCCUCCAGCUUCUGCGCUCACCCCUCCUCUUCAUUUCCACUGCAGUUGUCACUCUGGUGGGGGGGCCCCGUCUCUCCUCCCUGUCACGCUUCUCCCUCUGCCUGCUAGUGUUCCAUUCCCUCCAGCUCACACAGGGGACUUGGCCUCCCUAGGGUCCCCCUCCAUUCCCCCUCAGGAUUCUAGGGAGCAGCAGGAAUGUGUCCCUGGGGAAGGACCCUCUUCCAAAUGCCCCCCAGUCACCCCCGAGGCCCGGCUUCCUUUUCAGCACUCUGGACAGCGCUCCUGGAGGCUGUUGCUUUAAGAGACUUGGCCUUCGCCUUGCAGUCCUGGGCUGACCGGUUCGGAGGCAUUUAGGAUGCCUCCCUGCCUCAUCUCUUAGCAUUUCUAACAGUAUAAGGUAAACCCUGAGUGGUUUCUUAACCUCCACGACUACCCAAGACGUGGGCUCAAGAACAGAGUGAGCAGCGUAUGAAAAAAAGAAGUGAUUUUAAUUUCAAAGUUCUGCUGACAUUCAUCAAGUGCUCUCAAGGUUUACAUAAACAGAACGCCCUGCUUGAAAUAUCACUUUGAAUUCCGUUUGUGCAAUGGCACCUCUAAUAGGCUGCUGUUUUGGUUUCUCUCAGCAAUGUGAGCCUUUGUGUUUUAAUAUUCAGAGGCACAAGGAACAGGAAAAUUAUAGCUGGGGAAGCCCAGGCUGGGUUCUUCAUCAUCCAAGUUAAAUUUGGCUGAAUGGAGGAAAAACAUCCUUUUAAAAGGGUGGUAAAUGGGAAUAAUAAUCUCUUACAUUUACAAAACACUGAGUAUUUUCAAAGCUCUCUCAUAUUCAUUAUCUUGUUAGGUUUUCACAGAAAUCCUGUAUAAAACAUUCCACAAAGAGCUAUUGUAGGUGCUGGAUGUGAAUGGCAGGCCUGAGGAGGCCUUCUCAGCAAAUGGAGAAACUGAGGCUGGGGGAGGGUGAGUGACUGGCUUAAGGUCACUCCAUGGUGGCCAAGCCAGGGAGAGCUGGCCAAAGCCAGGAGGUGGCCAUGCCAGCCAUCCGUCUUGCAGGCUGCCUCCUCCCUGGUACCUCCCCCAUGGCCCCAAAGUGACCUUUGUCUCUUCUCUCAUGGAACACACAUCCUCCAAACGAAGUGGCCACAAAACCCCCUCACCUGGACUUCUACCCUUGUAGGAGAAUUAAAGCCCAAAGCAAAAAGAGAGAAUCUGUACAAGUGGCAACAGUCUUCAUCUGCUGAGCAUUGGCUUUGCAUCAAGAAGCGUGCUGUACCCUUGACAUGCACUAUUUCAUUUGACCCUCUUAACAGCUCCGGGAAUGCUUUUAGUCCCAUUUUAUGGCCAAGAAAACUGAUGUUCAGAAGAUUCGAGCUAAUCAGUGUCACAGCUGCAGCCACACUCAAGCAGCCUGCUCCAAAGCCCGAGCUGCCUGUCACUAUGCCAUAUAUAUACUUCCUGUUUGUCUCCAAGGACAGUUUUUAGCAUCAGUUGGAGGGAGGGACUGGUGGGGUAUGAGGCCUGCAUUGCCCUUCUUGCCAGCGGCUAGGUUCUUUGCCUCCUGUAGGCUGCUGCUAGGAUGGGGACCACAGCACUGUGGGUUCUGACAUCGCAGGUCCUAAGGCUGCCCCUCUGCCUGGCACUGACCUUGCCCUUUAAGAUGGAAGUCACCAGACUGCAACUGAUGCAUGGCCAGGGCAUUCGUGCAACAUUCCAAUCACUUCAGCAAACACGUCGUAUGGAUGAAUACACACAUGAACGAAUGAGUGAAUGAAUGAAGGAAGGGAAGAGAAAAAGGGUCUCUUUGUAGGUGUGUGGAGUGGGGCUCUGCAGCAGGAAGAAGCAGCGGUUGGGAAAUGUAACACCUGCUGUGGCUCAAAGCCCUGGUUCUGAACAGGAGACCCCUGUACCCUCCCCCCAGCAGUAUCUGAUGGGCAAGGGCCCUGAUGGAGGUUAAGUGGAUGCAGAUGGAGCCAGGGCUUUCAG